rnacentral:misc_RNA from 1 species
GAUGAAGAACGUAGCGAAAUGCGAUACGUAGUGUGAAUUGCAGAAUUCCGUGAACCAUCAAAUCUUUGAACGCAUAUUGCGCUCGAGGCUUCGGCCGAGAGCAUGUCUGCCUCAGCGUCGGUAUUACCCCUCGCUUCUCAACCCCUGGUUGAUGCCUGCCUGCCUUUGCAGUUGGCUAGAAGCGGAUCUGGCUUUCCCAAUUGCCUUUGGUAGUUGGGUCAGCUGAAGCACAGAGGCUUGAGCAAGGACCCUUAUUGGGCUUCAACUGGAUAGGUAGAACUGGUCUUAGGACCAACUACACGAAGUUGUUGCUUGUGGUCUUUGUCUGGAGGCAAGCAGGAAACCUUUAUACCUUCGACCUGAGCUCAGGCAAGAUUACCCGCUGAACUUAAGCAUAUCAAUAAGCGGAGGA